AAUCGACAAGCACAUAUCUCCCGUUCUUGGUACACACAAGAUCCCUAUUCAUGCAAAGCUUCAUCAGAUGAACCUUAAGAAUAGUUGAAUGGGCAAAUGAAUAAGGAGGGUGAGUGGGAGUGUGGAAGGAUUUGAAAACGUGUGGAAGACGAUUGUCAAUGAAGGAGGAGACGUGUGGUGAUUUGAUGAUGGAACUAGAACUGGGGUUCCAUGCUUGAAAUUUUGAAAAAAGAGAUUGUUUUAGCUGUUCCAUUAAAACCUUGUUCCUUUGAUCUUGCGUCAUCGCGUUUUUUCACUCUAUCAGCAAAUUAUGGUUUCGUAUUCACUCUCUCUGUUUCUAUUUAUUUAUUUAUAGAUGUUUGAAAGAUAGUUUCUCGUUGGAAUACAUAAAUGUUAGCGA